AAUAGAUACCCUGGUAGUCCACCCCGUAAACGUUGGGAACUAGUUGUGGGGUCCUUUCCACGGAUUCCGUGACGCAGCUAACGCAUUAAGUUCCCCGCCUGGGGAGUACGGCCGCAAGGCUAAAACUCAAAGGAAUUGACGGGGACCCGCACAAGCGGCGGAGCAUGCGGAUUAAUUCGAUGCAACGCGAAGAACCUUACCAAGGCUUGACAUACACCAGAACACCCUAGAAAUAGGGGACUCUUUGGACACUGGUGAACAGGUGGUGCAUGGUUGUCGUCAGCUCGUGUCGUGAGAUGUUGGGUUAAGUCCCGCAACGAGCGCAACCCUCGUUCUAUGUUGCCAGCACGUAAUGGUGGGAACUCAUGGGAUACUGCCGGGGUCAACUCGGAGGAAGGUGGGGAUGACGUCAAAUCAUCAUGCCCCUUAUGUCUUGGGCUUCACGCAUGCUACAAUGGCCGGUACAAAGGGCUGCAAUACCGUGAGGUGGAGCGAAUCCCAAAAAGCCGGUCCCAGUUCGGAUUGAGGUCUGCAACUCGACCUC
rnacentral:rRNA from 1 species